rnacentral:rRNA from 1 species
ACAUGCAAGUCGAGGGGAAACGAUGGGAGGGCUUGCCCUCCCAGGCGUCGACCGGCGCACGGGUGAGUAACACGUAUCCAACCUGCCCUCUUCCGGGGAACAACCUUGCGAAAGUAAGACUAAUGCCCCAUGUGUCCUCAGACGGCAUCAGACGAGGACGAAAGAUUUAUCGGAAGUGGAUGGGGAUGCGCCUGAUUAGGCAGUUGGCGGGGCAACGGCCCACCAAGCCGACGAUCAGUAGGGGUUCUGAGAGGAAGGUCCCCCACAUUGGAACUGAGACACGGUCCAAACUCCUACGGGAGGCAGCAGUGAGGAAUAUUGGUCAAUGGGCGAGAGCCUGAACCAGCCAAGUAGCGUGCAGGAUGACGGCCCUAUGGGUUGUAAACUGCUUUUGCGCGGGGAUAAAGUGCGCCACGUGUGGCGCAUUGCAGGUACCGCGCGAAUAAGGACCGGCUAAUUCCGUGCCAGCAGCCGCGGUAAUACGGAAGGUCCGGGCGUUAUCCGGAUUCAUUGGGUUUAAAGGGAGCGCAGGCCGCCCCUUAAGCGUGUUGUGAAAUGCCGCGGCUCAACCGUGGCACUGCAGCGCGAACUGGGGGGCUUGAGUGCGCGCAGCGCAGGCGGAACUCG